CCGGGAAGUGCAGGUGGCACAAAAGUUCCCGCAACAAUUUGAAAAUAGGAUAAAACAAAGGAUACCAGAAGCAUCCAGUUAUUGUUUCGUGAUUCAGAAAGUGUUUAAUAUCUGGAGCAGGGUCACUGAUACUCGCACUACGAGACUAAACACUGCAAGUAGCAACAGUUCCAACAGUCAUAAAGACAUUUGAGGGGGAGAACGUCACCCUCCCCUGCUAUGGAGACACUCGGGUUGAUGCCAUGAAUGUACAGUGGAAGAAAGGUGAAGAAACAGUGCUGGAAAUCACUUCUGUGACUACCGGCGACGUCUCAGCAGGCAGAUGUUCGAUCUCAAAAGAAGGUUAUCAAGAUGGCGACCUCUCACUCCACAUUAGUUCAGUUAACCGGUCUGAUGCUGAAUUUUAUCGGUGCCUUAUUCACGAUGAAUCUCGUGAUGGAGACCCACGUGCUGUUCUACUAAAGGUGGAAGAACGCCGACCUGAGCACCAACCACCCCCAGCCUGCAACAGCAACACAGAAGCAGCAUUAGCAGUAAUACUAGCAGUAACACUAACACUGGUCAUCCUCGGAGUGAUUAUUUACUGUGUGAGAAGAUUCAAAGUAACUAAGAAUAAGGCAUCCACCGAUCCAGGGCCUCCUGUUCAAGAGGAAAACCAAAUGAUCCCAAAGCCUUCUUCAACACGGAGAUUCCAGGACUAGUUCAUAGUCAAAGAUCUGCCACACUGUUUUUUUUUUUUUUUUAAACUUUUCUUAUGAAGGGAAGCAAAAUUAGAUAUUAAGGGAUUAGAAAUCUUUAAAAACAUAGAAAUUCAGCAAAGCUGUAGGAAUGCCAUGGUGGUGUCUAGGGAUGUCACAAUACCAAAAAUCUAGUAGUCGGUACCAACACCACCAAAAGUACAUGAUACUCGAUACCAAAGUCGAUACCAUGGUGUGGUAUAAAAAUGAAAUUAAAAACUCUCCUGGAGGACAUCCUCCUCUGGCUGAUACUGGCAAAAAAAAAAAAAAAAAAGAGAGGGAGGGAUAUUAUAGUUAUCAAACACUGUCUGACAAUGAGUGGAGUGACUCCUAAACUCGUGCACGCAUGUACACACACACACACACACACACACACACACACACACACACAUCCUUAUACUGUGAAUGCAAGCAUUAGUUUAAAUUCACUGAUAUGCUGGCAGGCCAAAAAGAUUUAUUAAAAGCAUGAACACUAGAAUAAUUGUUAGUGACAUUAGGCUACAUUUUGCUGACAGGACACGGGCUGAAUGGCGAUGCAUGGAGGCCCAUUAGGAGGUAGUUUAUAACACUGCAAUGUGUUCGCGUCGUUAACAAAUAACUGGCUAUCGCAAACAUUACAUGGAGCAUAACGUUAGCUGGUUUAACGGCCACAAUGCCAGCUGCCUCAAACAAACAAACAAACAAACAAAUAAUAUACAACCUGUGUUUCAGGUGCUUCGCCAAAUUUCGCCAAAUAUAUGUUUGUUGUCAUCCGCCUCGAAUGCGGAGUAUUUCUAUAUUCCAGACCACCUUUCCUCUCAACGAGUCACGGUGGAGCUAAACUUCUGUAGUUUUUCCCGUGUGUUUGUAGUUGUUGUUCUUCACCAUUUGUGGACCGGCUAAAAGACGUGCGCUUAUUUGCUCCCCCCGGUCAGGUUUGGAAGAAUUGCAAACCGGUACUUUCAUUAGAAACGGUACCAACACUACUGCAGAAAAACAAGUUCAGUCACAUUUUAAGAAUGUUGGUACCGACUUGGUACCAGAGUAUCAGUUCUCGUGACAUCCCUAGUGGUGCCUAAUGGUGGUGUCUAAGCAUGGUGUAGUUAGUUCUCUUUGUUCUGGUGUGCCGAUAUUCCUGCUUUAUUUCAGUCAUUUUUGCAGUUCACAUGAAAGAAAUGUGAACUCGGACUUUGAAAGAGCCAGUUUUACAUGCACUAUGAACUGAGCCAUAUGGUUAUACCGUAAAUAAUCAUGAUGUAUAUUUAUACAUGCUGUAUGUACAGGUACAUCUUUUAAAAAAUUGAAUAUUGUGGAAAAGUUAUUUUUUACUGUAAUUUAAUUCAAAAAGUGGAACUUUUAUAUAUUCUAGAUUCAUUACACGAAGUGAAAUAUUUCAAGCCUUUUUUUUUGCUUUAAUCUUGAAGAUUACGGUUUACAGCUCAUGGAAAUCUUCAUUUUUCUUUAAUUUUUUUUCUGUAAUUGUUCUUUGUAGUUUCGACGUUUCGUAAAUUAUAGAGGUGUAUAAUUAACUUAUUCUUCAUUUCUGCUAAGAUUUGGGUAAAUGGGA
ensembl:lncRNA